UGUGCCUCAAAAAUAUAUAAAUGGCGGUGAUUAUAAUUAUAAGAACAACCCACAAAGCUUAGCUAGCAGCCACUCUUCCCCUUCUCUCUCCGAGUCUAACUCACGCUGUGUGUUUGCUUUCUCCGCGUCUCCUUAGCCUCUGCUUCUGGGGGACUUUCCCCCGCCUAGCCGAUAUUACCUCUCUCACCCACCACUAUCUGCUCAAAAGACGACAUUCUCUCUCUCUCUCUCUCUCUCUCUCUCUCUCUCUCUCUCUCUUAGGGCUAUAGCUGCUGCCUUGUGACCAUCAUCAUCUUUAUAUGCGUGAUCCCUGCCAUUUGUUUUUCAGGCGGAAAUGUAGAAGCGAUAAGACCGCCAAAAAGAAGACAGAUUUUGCAUGAACAAGAAGGUUAGAUAUCUAGUAUUAAUAUUAUUACUUCAAUCGGCUUAAAAGGAGCUAGGCCAGGGUCUCGACUUUCAACUAGUAAGGAAAAGCUCCCUCACAAAAGGGAAAAAAAGGAGGCUAUCAAGGAAAUAGAAAGAGGAAAGAGAUGUUAUAGUCUGUUCAAAGGACGUACAGCCAAGAAAGACCGAAUCAGGGAAGGGGAAAAGAGAGGAGCCGACUGAGAAAAGCUCCUAGGUCUUUAGCAGAUUAUCCAUCCCACAACGACUAUCAUCAUCAAUAUCAAUAAUAGCAUAUCAGUAGUUUGAAGAAAGAAAAAGAGGAGAAAGCGGAGCAUGGCAUCAUCAUCGAAUUCUCCAUGUGCAGCGUGCAAGUUUCUGAGGCGUAAAUGCCAGCCGGAGUGCGUUUUUGCACCGUAUUUCCCCCCGGACCAGCCCCAGAAAUUCGCAAACGUGCACAAGGUGUUUGGUGCAAGCAACGUGACCAAGCUUCUGAACGAGUUGCACUCACACCAGCGAGAGGACGCCGUGAAUUCUCUCGCCUAUGAGGCUGACAUGCGUCUCCGGGACCCUGUCUACGGCUGCGUGGGAGUCAUCUCUCUCCUCCAACACCAACUCCGGCAACUCCAGAUGGACCUCAGUUGCGCCAAAUCUGAACUCUCCAAAUACCAAAACUUGGGCAUCACAAGCCACGGCCUAAUAGCCGCCGCCGCCGCCGCUGCCGCCACGAAUCACAACCACCAGCAGAACUUGGGGAUUAAUCUGAUCGGUGCCGGCCGCGACCACCAUCACUACCAUCACCAGUUCUUUCCUAGGGAUCAGCAACAGAUGAUAAGGAGCUUUGAUUCGGGAAACAACUAUGAUGCAAGCCUUUUAGCCAUGAACGUCUCGGCAAGCAUAGGACAACUGAGUCAGUUUCAGCAACCUAGGACUGCUACUGGGGACGACCGACGCACCAUUGAUCCCUCUUAGAGUUUCUUUACUUUCAUGGAUUAAAAAAAACUUGCCCAAACCCAUAAUAGGGCUUGGACCUUUGAAGGAUUCAGCUUUGAAAGAAGAUUUAGGAGGGAGGGAGAGAGAGAGAGUUGGGU